UGAGACCUGAUGCCGAGCCGAUUGUGGUGAAGUGGAUGAUCCUAUGCUGUCGAGAAAAGCCUCUAGCGAGUUUCAUGGCGGCCCGUACCCUAAACCGACUCAGGUGGUCAGGUAGAGAAUACCGAGGCGUUCGGGUGAACUAUGGUUAAGGAACUCGGCAAAAUGCCCCCGUAACUUCGGGAGAAGGGGGGCCAUCACCGGUGAUAGCACUUGCUGCUUGAGCUGGGGGUGGCCGCAGAGACCAGCGAGAAGCGACUGUUUACUAAAAACACAGGUCCGUGCGAAGCCGUAAGGCGAUGUAUACGGACUGACGCCUGCCCGGUGCUGGAACGUUAAGGGGACCGGUUAGCUGACUUUCGGGUUGGCGAAGCUGAGAACUUAAGCGCCAGUAAACGGCGGUGGUAACUAUAACCAUCCUAAGGUAGCGAAAUUCCUUGUCGGGUAAGUUCCGACCUGCACGAAUGGCGUAACGACUUCUCGACUGUCUCAACCAUAGGCCCGGUGAAAUUGCACUACGAGUAAAGAUGCUCGUUUCGCGCAGCAGGACGGAAAGACCCCGGGACCUUUACUAUAGUUUGAUAUUGGUGUUCGGUUCGGCUUGUGUAGGAUAGGUGGGAGACUUUGAAGCGGCCACGCCAGUGGUUGUGGAGUCGUCGUUGAAAUACCACUCUGGUCGUGCUGGAUGUCUAACCUGGGUCCGUGAUCCGGAUCAGGGACAGUGUCUGAUGGGUAGUUUAACUGGGGCGGUUGCCUCCUAAAGAGUAACGGAGGCGCCCAAAGGUUCCCUCAGCCUGGUUGGUAAUCAGGUGUUGAGUGUAAGUGCACAAGGGAGCUUGACUGUGAGACCGACGGGUCGAGCAGGGACGAAAGUCGGGACUAGUGAUCCGGCAGUGGCUUGUGGAAGCGCUGUCGCUCAACGGAUAAAAGGUACCCCGGGGAUAACAGGCUGAUCUUCCCCAAGAGUCCAUAUCGACGGGAUGGUUUGGCACCUCGAUGUCGGCUCGUCGCAUCCUGGGGCUGGAGUCGGUCCCAAGGGUUGGGCUGUUCGCCCAUUAAAGCGGUACGCGAGCUGGGUUUAGAACGUCGUGAGACAGUUCGGUCCCUAUCCGCUGUGCGCGUAGGAAUAUUGAGAAGGGCUGUCCCUAGUACGAGAGGACCGGGACGGACGAACCUCUGGUGUGCCAGUUGUCCUGCCAAGGGCAUGGCUGGUUGGCUACGUUCGGAAAGGAUAACCGCUGAAAGCAUCUAAGCGGGAAGCCUGCUUCGAGAUGAGUAUUCCCACCCCCUUUGAGGGGUUAAGGCUCCCAGUAGACGACUGGGUUGAUAGGCCAGAUGUGGAAGCCCGGUAACGGGUGGAGCUGACUGGUACUAAUAGGCCGAGGGCUUGUCCU
rnacentral:rRNA from 1 species